AAUGAACGCUGGCGGCCUGCUUAACACAUGCAAGUCGAACGAGCGGCGGACGGGUGAGUAACGUCUGGUAAACUGCCUGAUGGAGGGGGAUAACUACUUGAAACCGUAGCCAAUACCGCAUACCAUCAGAUGAGCCUAGAGGGGAUUAGCUAGUAGGUGGGGGAAUGGCUCACCUAGGCGACGAUGCCUAGCUGGUCUGAGAGGAUGAACGGCCAAACUGGAACUGAGACACGGGCCAGACUCCUACGGGAGGCAGCAGUGGGGAAUAUUGCACAAUGGGCGAAAGCCGGAUGCAGCCAUGCCGCGUGUGUGAAGAAGGCCUGAGGGUUGUAAAGCACUGUCAGCGAGGAGGCGUUACGCGGAGAAGAAGCACCGGCUAACUCCGUGCCAGCAGCCGCGGUAAUAC
rnacentral:rRNA from 1 species